AUACGUAGGUGGCAAGCGUUAUCCGGAUUUACUGGGUGUAAAGGGCGCGUAGGCGGGGGUGCAAGUCAGAUGUGAAAUCUAUGGGCUUAACUCAUAAACUGCAUUUAAAACUGUAUGUCUUGAGUGCUGGAGAGGAAGACGGACUUCCUUGUGUAGCGGUGAAAUGCGUAGAUAUAAGGAAUAACACCAGUGGCGAAGGCGGUCUACUGGACAGUAACUGACGCUGAGGCGCGAAAGCGUGGGGAGCAAACAGGAUUAGAUACCCUGGUAGUCCGCGCUGUAAACGAUGAAUACUAGGUGUGGGGGGACUGACCCCCUCCGUGCCGCAGUUAACACAAUAAGUAUUCCACCUGGGGAGUACGGCCGCAAGGUUGAAACUCAAAUGAAUCGACGGGG
rnacentral:rRNA from 1 species